UACGUAGGUGGCAAGCGUUGUCCGGAUUUACUGGGCGUAAAGAGCGCGCAGGCGGUCGUUCAAGUCGGGUGUGAAAGCCCCCGGCUCAACUGGGGAGGGUCACGCGAUACUGAUCGACUCGAAGGCAGGAGAGGGUAGUGGAAUUCCCGGUGUAGUGGUGAAAUGCGUAGAUAUCGGGAGGAACACCAGGGGCGAAGGCGACUACCUGGCCUGUUCUUGACGCUGAGGCGCGAAAGCUAGGGGAGCAAACGGG
rnacentral:rRNA from 1 species